GGAGGUUUUUCUUAUGAGGGACUUGAGCUGCUCCGUCUGCUUUCUGGAUCCCUUCAUCUUGUCUGGACGCUGGCAUCGAGAUGUUGUGAAAUUCCAAGGGGACGUAUGUCUUGGCCCGUCAGAGGCGGCUGGCUGCCAGGACUCCUCUCAGCUCGCUCCCCGAAGACCCCUGGCUCCACAGAAACAGGAAAUGGAUAGGGGCGGAGGUAAACAUGACUUUUGGGACAAGGAGAACAGCGGGGUACCACGCUAUGAUCACCUGUGGAAUGAGAGGUACGCACAGGGGCUCAAAUGUCUGGAAGAAUAUACCACAAUGUCUCUUUUACUGCAUUAUUUAUGCUGCUUCAGUACUUUGCUUCGGUAGUUCAUUUCAUGUUUCAUACUUUGAGAGGAUGACCAGCCGAACUCCCAUAGUGCUUUGAUAAUCGUCGGCAUUAUCAAAUACUGUGCAUACAAAAAUGUAUACAACAAAAAGAUAUGCACACUUAUGCAGUUUGGUCUGCCACAUUGAAACAUUUCAUCGAGUCUAUUGUGAAAUUAUUCAAUUCAAUUGUACAUGACACAUUUAUGUAGGCAUGCAUUUUAAUUCAAUAAUUGUGUAAUUAAUAUUGCAUUAGUACUGGUAAUGGGCCCGUUGCAUUCAAAGACAAGAACUCUCUGCCUAUAGGGACGAUUGUUUUAAUACAGUCGGAAUGCAAAGCAAAUUAUAGUCAUUUGACUUAUUUGUAAUAUAAAAUGUGCCUUCUAUAAACGUGUCGUGUUUGACUGAAGGGUUACUUCAUGCUAUGUUUCUGCCUCAUUAAUAUCAAUUCCCAGUGGGUUGGAUGUGUUUCACUGUCUGUAGUGCACAUUUCAAACUCCGAACUGCACACACACACACACACACACACACACACAUUCUGACAGGCCCUCAAUAUUUUAUAAUUUUUUUUAAAAUCAUGAGUAAAAAUUUUGGGUGUUUAAAACAUUUAUGGCUGAUUAGCAGAUAACUUAUCCC
rnacentral:lncRNA from 1 species